UUGACCUUUGAUCAACGGGUCUCGCAUUAUUCUUGAAUACCCUUGUGGAUGUGUGUUAUGUGAAUUUCAUAUUCUAUGGAUAAGAGUUCUGAGACGUGGUUUGAUAACUGUUUUAGUCGCCGAGCGUUCAGGACGCCUUGGUUCUGAUGUUAGGGAGUCGUAGCGCGGACCCCAGGUGAGUGGGCAUUUGUUUUCUAUAUAUACCUAUAUACUAUUGAUUUUUCCCAGAAAUCGGAUUUAAAUGAAAGUAUGUUUUAAAAUGCCAUGCAUACAUUAUAUGAAUUGAUAAUUGAUGCAUAUAUAUAUAUAUAUAUAUAUAUAUGUGUGUGUGUGUGUGUGUGUGUGAAUUGGUGCUGUGGACGCACAGGUGAAUAUUAGGUGAGUUUUAUGUUAAUCAUGUGAUUUAUUGUGAUGUGAAUUGUAUUGAAAGCUCAAACCUGCACCCCUGGUGUUAGUGCUUAUAUUAUUCACCCCGCACCAUACGCUCACCUUGGAUCCAAGUAGGUGCAUGUCGUAUAGACCAAUAGAGGGUUCCGACAUGUCGUACAGACCAUGAGAGGUGGUUCCGACUAUAGGUGACUUUAGAUUAUUAUACAGCUGUUGAUAAGAGAAGCACUAGAGCAUAUUCUUACACCAUUCUUGUCGUACAGACUACUUCAGGUAGUUCCGAUUUAUUUGCAGAGUAGUGCCGUAUAGGUCACAGUUGGUGACUUCGGUUGGAUUGGAUAUUGAGCUAUAGAAUUAACAGUACAGGACCAGCUGCAGGGUCUCCGGUUGAUUUAUCAUUUCACCUGAUUUAUAUUGAUGCAUCCAUAUUAUGUUUCGAUGCAUUGCAUGGCAUAUUUUCUGAAAAGUGUUAAAGGAUUGUGAUUUGAGAUAUUUGCUGAUAUAUAUGGUUAUAUAAAUUAUUUUCUGGGAAAGUAUACAGGUUUUUUAGCGAGGGGUUAUGAAUGUUGAUAAAUGAGAUAUUCUUGAAAAGCUUUAUUUUCGCCCACUCACGUUUUCUGUUUUGCGCCCUUCCAGGUUCUAGUAGCAAAGUUCCUUAUCGACGAGGAUUCGUGGCAUGUCCCUGUUAAGGUGGCUAUUUUUGUGGGUAUGGUUUCUACCUACAUUGCUGUACUUGACUGUGCUCUGACAUUACGUGUGAUUUGGGUUCAUACCCACGCACAAUGCACUCGGUUAUUUAGGCACCUUUAGGUUUGAAUUUAUUUGCAUCUUUCCUUAUCAUCACUUUAUGGCUUCGUCACCUUCCAGAUGGUGGCCAGCACAGCUCGAUUCGGAGUCCUAGUGGACAUUCCGGAUCGGGGUGUGUCAACAAUGCCUCUUCAAGGCUUCCAUUGUCAAAUCUAGAACAAACAUAUGAAGAUGAAUUACUUAGAGAAUUGGACUAUAACCUCUUAUGGAGCGUUAUUUUCAAUUAGGGCUUGAACUUUACUAAUCUCUACUUAAGAAGAGUUCAAAGUUUAUAAACUAUAUAU
rnacentral:lncRNA from 1 species